rnacentral:rRNA from 1 species
ACGGGAGGCAGCAGUGGGGAAUAUUGCACAAUGGGGGAAACCCUGAUGCAGCGACGCCGCGUGAGUGAAGAAGUAUUUCGGUAUGUAAAGCUCUAUCAGCAGGAAAGAAAAUGACGGUACCUGACUAAGAAGCCCCGGCUAACUUCGUGCCAGCAGCCGCGGUAAUACGAAGGGUGCAAGCGUUGUUCGGAAUUACUGGGCGUAAAGGGCGUGUAGGCGGACAAAUUAGUCAGGAGUGAAAUCCCGGGGCUCAACCCCGGAACUGCUUUUGAAACGGUUUGUCUCGAGUAUGACAGGGGAUGAUGGAAUACCCAGUGUAGAGGUGAAAUUCGUAGAUAUUGGGUAGAACACCAGAGGCGAAGGCGGUCAUCUGGGUCAUUACUGACGCUGAGGCGCGAAAGCGUGGGGAUCAAACAGGAUUAGAUACCCUGGUA